CCAGAGGAGGCGGCGCCCACGGGAGCGGCGGCGGCGCGACGUGUCGCUGCCAUGGCCGACGGGCGCCGCCGGCGGGGGCGGCGGUGACAGAUGUAUUUGAAGAGGCCGGCGGGCGGCCUCGCCUUCUGCCUCUUCUACCUGGCGUCCUGCUUCACCAACAAGUAUGUCCUGUCUGUCCUGCAAUUUACCUACCCUACCCUUUUUCAAGGGUGGCAAACAUUAGUGGGUGGACUUCUGCUUCACCUCUCCUGGAAGCUGGGCUGGGUGGAGAUAAACUUGUGUUCGAGGUCUGAAAUCCUGUCAUGGCUUCCUGCUUCAGUACUUUUUGUGGGCAUCAUUUAUGCUGGUUCUAGAUCACUGUCUAGAUUGCCAAUCCCAGUGUUCCUCACUGUGCACAACGCAGCAGAAGUUAUAACCUGUGGGUUCCAGAAGUUUGUGCAGAAAGAGCAGACCUCUCAUCUGAAAGUCUGUAGUGUGCUGUUCCUCCUGGCAGCAGCAGUGUGCCUUCCUUUGUGUGACACACAGUUUGAUCCAAGUGGUUAUUUAUGGGCUCUAAUUCACUUGGUCUGUGUUGGGGCUUACAAAGUAUUUCACAAGUUGUGGAAACCUGGCUCCUUAAGUGAUCUGGACCAACAGUACAUCAACUAUGUAUUCAGUGUGGUGCUCUUGGCCUCUGCGUCCCAUCCAGCAGGUGAUCUCUUCAGUGCCUUGGACUUUCCAUUCCUGUACUUCUACAGGUUUCAUAGCAGCUGCUGUGCCAGUGGGCUGUUGGGAUUCUUUCUGAUGUUGCACACAGCAAAGCUAAAAAGCAGCACAACCUCAGGGCAAUAUGCAACCUGGAGUUUCCUUGCAAAGGAAUGGAGUGGGUCUGCAGUCUUGUGGUAUCCUGCCUGGAUCAAGUCCAUCUCCUGCUUCAUUUCCUCUGUCAGGUGCCUGGUCUAUAGGCAAAUGGAGAACAAUCAGGGUGUGAUUUAUGGUUAUCACUGCUAGCUUAUCACCAUUCUUCUUUGCCAUGACUGCCAAUGUACUGACAAUUUCUUGCCUUGUAAUCAGUGGAGUUGGAGAAGCACUGCUUGUUUACACUGAAAGGACAGGCACAUAAAGAGGAACCAGAUUUCGCCAGCUGGAAAAGAGCUGACUUGCAGCCUAGAGACACUAUGAUGAAAAAAUUGCGGCAGCAGGAAUGAAGAAGUGCAACCAAACAUGAGGAAAGAGAUCUAUUGUUUUUUCAUUAAGAAAGAAAAGCUAUGCUAUUAAUAGUGCUGGUAAGGAAGCUGCAUAGUUGGCAAGAUGAUAAGGAGCCUUUGCCUCAAAGCACAAGACAAACUAUAUCAGUUUGAUGUGGUCACUGUCUCAUGCUGAUGGCUCCGUGUGAGAACCUCUCAGUAGCAGCUUCUUGCACAGGGAACUAAACUCAGGAAAAGCAACAUUCCACACUGGAUGCCCCCAGGUUUUUUUUAUUGGAAGCUGACAGCAGGUCAUACCAAGCAAUGUCAGAGCCCAGAUCCUGCCAUAAAUUCAGGAUCCGGAAGGAUGGAUUUUGUCUCCAACUGUUCUGUAAGCAGCAAGCUGCCACACGCAGGUCUCUGGUCACGUCGUCUGAACUGGCACAGGGACGGAGGCCAAGGGGCUUCUGGAGAUAAUCCCCUUCUGGAACUACAGCAGUUUGACAGCUUUGCAGAAAGGGAAAAUCAGCAAUAAAUCUCAAUAUCUGUA